AAACUACUGUGUCUGGGCGCAUCAACAAGCAUAGAACGAUAUAGAGAAAGCAACGUUAUUUGCACUCUAUCUUAUAAAUCGGCCAGAAUGUCUGCACUAAACGAUCAAAAAGAAUGGGAAUGGAGAUACUUUCAAAAAUGGACUUGUUAUCAAGUAAUAUGUAAAUUGUGUGGAGCUCCUUCAAUUAAUAACACAGUUACUUGCUGGAAUAUGCAAUUAUUGUUUGAUCAUUACAGACUAAAACAUCCAGAUAUAGCAAACAAUACACAAAUACGUUGGAUACAUACGCAUUUUAAAAGAAUUAGCUAUUCAAGCAUGAAAUGUUUUUUAUGUCCUUAUAGAGGUUCACUUUCAACGGUAGAAUUAAAAGAACAUUUAUCUAAACAUUACAUAAUUCCAGAAGAAGACUUAACUUAUCAGACCAGCUUUAUUUUUAAUCAUGUAACAGUGUUUGACAAUUUGCACGUGCUGUGUAAAGAAUGUGUUGCGCCUUUAGAGAUUAUUUCUAUGCAUCACAUGAAUCAUCACAUGUUCAAAAUGCAUAAUUAUACAUGGAAUAUACAACAAACCAAUGCAACUGCACAAAGAAAUACCAUUAUGUCUGAGUAUCAAUAAUUGUAUAAAGUUAAAGGAUAAAACAACGGUUUGUCCAAAACAGAUUUGACAGAGGUUUUACAUUUAAUUACCGUGACCAGAAGUAGCAACAAUCUUCACUUUAACAACUUAAACGAUUCAAAGUAUCUAAAAAACUGUCAUAUCUGUG